rnacentral:rRNA from 1 species
UACGUAGGGGGCAAGCGUUAUCCGGAAUUACUGGGUGUAAAGGGAGCGUAGACGGUAAUGUAAGUCUGGAGUGAAAGGCGGGGGCCCAACCCCCGGACUGCUCUGGAAACUAUGUUACUAGAGUGCAGGAGAGGUAAGCGGAAUUCCUAGUGUAGCGGUGAAAUGCGUAGAUAUAUGGAGGAACACCGGUGGCGAAAGCGGCUCUCUGGCCUGUAACUGACACUGAGGCUCGAAAGCGUGGGGAGCAAACAGG